rnacentral:rRNA from 1 species
GAUCCUGGCUCAGGAUGAACGCUGGCGGCGUGCUUAACACAUGCAAGUCGAACGAAGCACCUUGAUUUGAUUCUUCGGAUGAAGAUCUUGGUGACUGAGUGGCGGACGGGUGAGUAACGCGUGGGUAACCUGCCUCAUACAGGGGGAUAACAGUUAGAAAUGACUGCUAAUACCGCAUAAGACCACAGUACCGCAUGGUACAGGGGUAAAAACUCCGGUGGUAUGAGAUGGACCCGCGU